GCAGGUAUAGCUCAAUGGCAGAGCUCCAGCUUCCCAAGCUGGCUAUGCGGGUUCGAUUCCCGUUACCUGCU
rnacentral:tRNA from 1 species